UACGUGGGUGGCGAGCGUUGUCCGGAUUUACUGGGCGUAAAGAGCGCGCAGGCGGUCGGACAAGUCGGGUGUGAAAGCCCCCGGCUCAACUGGGGAGGGUCACGCGAUACUGUUCGACUCGAAGGCAGGAGAGGGAAGUGGAAUUCCCGGUGUAGUGGUGAAAUGCGUAGAUAUCGGGAGGAACACCAGUGGCGAAGGCGACUACCUGGCCUGUUCUUGACGCUGAGGCGCGAAGGCCAGGGGAGCAAACGGG
rnacentral:rRNA from 1 species